rnacentral:lncRNA from 1 species
UUAAUAUCAUAUAAAGGUAAACAAAUGAGCAUUAAAAUAUGAUUUAAUGCAUUCGUAAGCUUUGAUGUUUACAGAAAAAAAUAAUUUCUUUUUAUUUUUUUUUUUUUUUGUAACACUUUAUAAUUUUUUUUUUUAUAUCUAUUUUUUUUUUUAUGUAAUAUUUUUUUUUUUUUUUUUUUUUUGCUAUUUUUGUAAACAUAAAAAACAUUAUUAAAAAUAGUGUUAAAAAUAGUGCUUAAACGUAGUUUUUAAAAGUCGUGUUGAAAGUAAAACAUCUUUUUGCUAUAAAACAAACUGCCAACUUCAAUUUAUUUAAAAAUGAUAAACUUGAGAGAAAAUAAUCAGAGUCCCCUAGAUGAAAGCCCAAACCAAAGAAAUAAUGCAUGGAAAAAUGGAAUUUUUAUGAAAAUUGUUUAUAUAUGUUUAAUAUGUUCGAUCUGUUUGUUUUUGUUAUACAGUUUCGUGACAUCAAAGGGUAAUAGUUACACCUCGGAUGACACAGAAAAACAUAACAUAAAAGAUAGUUUAACGAAUGAAGAAAUAAAUGCGAUAAAGUAUAUAAUCACAGAGAAUAUAAAUAAUAAAAUUUUAAACACUAACACAGAAAGCGUUGAACAUGCGAUUAUAUGGGGGGAAAGUGUUGAAGAAGAAAGUGCUACAAAUAACAACGAUAAAAAGGAAAAAAUAACAUACACGAAAAGAAAUGAAGCAGUCGAAACUGAUACUGCCGAAAUUAAUACAAAAUCAAAAUCUGAAACAGCACCAGUAAAGUCAUGGGGCAUAUCUUAUCAUUUACCAAAAUAUAGUUAUGAAAAUAUUAAUCGUAUGAAUGAACAAGAUCAUGAUAAUUUUUUUGUAAUAUCCAAUAGAUUCAUACGUUCGUUCACGGAUGGAACUAAAAAAGAAACAGAAAAUAAUGAAAUGAAAAGUAGUACUAAGGAGAAUAUAAAUGAAGAUAAUUUAUAUGUAGACACCAUGUUUGAUAAUUUAAAAUAUACAGCCAAGUUUUUUAAUUUUAAGAAAACGUAUAACAAAGUUUAUAAAAAUGAUGAUGACCAGAAUGUACAUUUCGAAAAUUUUAAAAAAAAUUAUAUAAAAAUUAAAAUGCAUAAUAAAAUGGGAAACAAACUUUAUAAAAAAAAAAUUAACGAAUUUUCUGACUACUCAGAAGAAGAUUUAAAAAACAAAUUCAAAAAAUUAUUAAAAAUACCAGAUGAGUUAAAACAAAAAUAUGUAACCAAAUUUUCUGACCAUUUAGAAAUUAUAAAUUAUUAUUUAAAGCGAGCUGGUAGUAACAAUAAUAAUUUUAAUAAUUAUGGUAAUAAUAUAUUUGACAUUUAUCCAACUAAUUUGG